GGGGAAUUUUCCGCAAUGGGCGAAAGCCUGACGGAGCAAUGCCGCGUGGAGGAUGACAGCCUGUGGGUCGUAAACUCCUUUUCUCAGAGAAGAAGAUCUGACGGUAUCUGAGGAAUAAGCAUCGGCUAACUCCGUGCCAGCAGCCGCGGUAAGACGGAGGAUGCAAGCGUUAUCCGGAAUGAUUGGGCGUAAAGCGUCUGUAGGUGGUUUAUUAAGUCUACUGUUAAAUAUCAGGGCUUAACCCUGAAUCGGCAGUAGAAACUCAUAAGCUUGAGUACGGUAGGGGCAGAGGGAAUUCCCGGUGUAGCGGUGAAAUGCGUAGAGAUCGGGAAGAACACCGAUGGCGAAAGCACUCUGCUGGGCCGAAACUGACACUGAGAGACGAGAGCUAGGGGAGCAAAAGGGAUUAGAUACCCCUGUAGUC
rnacentral:rRNA from 1 species